rnacentral:rRNA from 1 species
GCGGAGGAAAAGAAACUAACAAGGAUUCCCCUAGUAACGGCGAGUGAAGCGGGAAGAGCUCAAAUUUGUAAUCUGGCACUUUCAGUGUCCGAGUUGUAAUCUCGAGAAGUAUUUUCCGCGCCGGACCGCAUACAAGUCUGUUGGAAUACAGCGUCAUAGUGGUGAGAACCCCGUAACUGAUGCGGAUGCCCGGUGCUUUGUGAUAUACUUUCGAAGAGUCGAGUUGUUUGGGAAUGCAGCUCAAAUUGGGUGGUAAAUUCCAUCUAAAGCUAAAUAUUGGAGCAAGACCGAUAGCGAACAAGUACCGUGAGGGAAAGAUGAAAAGCACUUUGGAAAGAGAGUUAACAGUACGUGAAAUUGUUGGAAGGGAAACGCUUGAAGUCAGACUUGCUAUUCGGAGUUCAGCCGCAAGGUGUAUUCUUCGAUUUGCAGGCCAGCAUCAGUUUUUGGGGGUGGAAAAUCGUGGUUUGAAGGUAGCAGGGUCGGCUGUGUUAUAGCUUUCCACUGGAUUC